UCAGGACGAACGCUGGCGGCGUGCCUAAUACAUGCAAGUCGAGCGGACAGAUGGGAGCUUGCUCCCUGAUGUUAGCGGCGGACGGGUGAGUAACACGUGGGUAACCUGCCUGUAAGACUGGGAUAACUCCGGGAAACCGGGGCUAAUACCGGAUGCUUGUUUGAACCGCAUGGUUCAAACAUAAAAGGUGGCUUCGGCUACCACUUACAGAUGGACCCGCGGCGCAUUAGCUAGUUGGUGAGGUAAUGGCUCACCAAGGCAACGAUGCGUAGCCGACCUGAGAGGGUGAUCGGCCACACUGGGACUGAGACACGGCCCAGACUCCUACGGGAGGCAGCAGUAGGGAAUCUUCCGCAAUGGACGAAAGUCUGACGGAGCAACGCCGCGUGAGUGAUGAAGGUUUUCGGAUCGUAAAGCUCUGUUGUUAGGGAAGAACAAGUACCGUUCGAAUAGGGCGGUACCUUGACGGUACCUAACCAGAAAGCCACGGCUAACUACGUGCCAGCAGCCGCGGUAAUACGUAGGUGGCAAGCGUUGUCCGGAAUUAUUGGGCGUAAAGGGCUCGCAGGCGGUUUCUUAAGUCUGAUGUGAAAGCCCCCGGCUCAACCGGGGAGGGUCAUUGGAAACUGGGGAACUUGAGUGCAGAAGAGGAGAGUGGAAUUCCACGUGUAGCGGUGAAAUGCGUAGAGAUGUGGAGGAACACCAGUGGCGAAGGCGACUCUCUGGUCUGUAACUGACGCUGAGGAGCGAAAGCGUGGGGAGCGAACAGGAUUAGAUACCCUGGUAGUCCACGCCGUAAACGAUGAGUGCUAAGUGUUAGGGGGUUUCCGCCCCUUAGUGCUGCAGCUAACGCAUUAAGCACUCCGCCUGGGGAGUACGGUCGCAAGACUGAAACUCAAAGGAAUUGACGGGGGCCCGCACAAGCGGUGGAGCAUGUGGUUUAAUUCGAAGCAACGCGAAGAACCUUACCAGGUCUUGACAUCCUCUGACAAUCCUAGAGAUAGGACGUCCCCUUCGGGGGCAGAGUGACAGGUGGUGCAUGGUUGUCGUCAGCUCGUGUCGUGAGAUGUUGGGUUAAGUCCCGCAACGAGCGCAACCCUUGAUCUUAGUUGCCAGCAUUCAGUUGGGCACUCUAAGGUGACUGCCGGUGACAAACCGGAGGAAGGUGGGGAUGACGUCAAAUCAUCAUGCCCCUUAUGACCUGGGCUACACACGUGCUACAAUGGACAGAACAAAGGGCAGCGAAACCGCGAGGUUAAGCCAAUCCCACAAAUCUGUUCUCAGUUCGGAUCGCAGUCUGCAACUCGACUGCGUGAAGCUGGAAUCGCUAGUAAUCGCGGAUCAGCAUGCCGCGGUUGAAUACGUUCCCGGGCCUUGUACACACCGCCCGUCACACCACGAGAGUUUGUAACACCCGAAGUCGGUGAGGUAACCUUUUAGGAGCCAGCCGCCGAAGGUGGGACAGAUGAUUGG
rnacentral:rRNA from 1 species